CAAUUCUCGUGUUCGACAGCUACUGACUUUCUGGUUUUCUAACUCUCUUUGCUGAUUACCUUGAUCAGAUGGGUUAGUUAGUUGCUGCUUUACUGAACAAACCUGGUCUAGGUAUUCAGUAUCAGCUGGGAAAGGGGGAGUUGUGAAACCAGCAGGACAGUAGCUCUCGAGGACCAGGAUUGGGCAACCCUCCUUUAAGCAACUGCACACGAAUGCUACUGACUAGUACAUUUCAUUGUUUCUGUCAAUCUACAUGCUGUCAUACUUGUGCUUUUGCAGUAUUGAAUGAAACAAAUCCAACAGCUGUGGUCCCCAACCUGACUACUACGGAAGCCACUCAACAAACACCCAUCAGUGCUACACCAGCUCCAACAACAGAGACUACAGCAGCUACUUCGACUGCUUCAGGAACCACAACAUUUGUUCUUGUCUCAGCUGUCUUGAAUACACCAUAUGAACCACAACUCAAUGACAGCAGCAGUGUUGAGUUCAAGACUCUUGAAACAGAAGUUGUACAAAUUGUGAGUACCAUGUCAAAAUGGUUACGUGGCUUCAUAAAUGCCCAAGUGGAUGAAUUCAACGUGACAAUCUUGAUUAUUGUAUUUAGAUAAUGAAACAUUUGUAAUAUGUUUGCACUUUUCUAUCUGCUUUCCUCCCUCAGUGGGACAUCGUCUACAGUGCCAGAUAUUAUUAUCUUUUUGUCCGUGCCUAUGUCGUAGAAUUCAGGUAAGGUUUUAACUUAUUUUUCGCUUUAUUGUAGGUGCUGUUCUCCAGUAUCAUGAGUGUUGUAUUCCAAAGAACCCCAUUUCAUGGAGCAAUUGCACACAUCAUUAAUGACUGUCAAUAUGAUGUCCUUGAAAUGUUCUGCUGUUUUUUGCAGACAAUAUGUCACAACAACAACAACAACAAAGACUCUUACUGAAGUAGAAGUGGUGGUUGAGUUCAAUGACCAUGCUGCACCUGGAGAAACCCCACAGGCUAGUGAUGUGGCAAAAACAUUAGGAAAUGCUGUGUCCAAUCCCAACAACACCUUCAAUCUCACUGUUGAUUCCACUACCAUCCAAGCAGUUGUAUUGAAUGAAACAAAUCCAACAGCUGUGGUCCCCAACCUGACUACUACGGAAGCCACUCAACAAACACCCAUCAGUGCUACACCAGCUCCAACAACAGAGACUACAGCAGCUACUUCGACUGCUUCAGGAACCACAACAUUUGUUCUUGUCUCAGCUGUCUUGAAUACACCAUAUGAACCACAACUCAAUGACAGCAGCAGUGUUGAGUUUAAGACUCUUGAAACAGAAGUUGUACAAAUUGUGAGUACCAUGUCAAAAUGGUUACGUGGCUUCAUAAAUGCCCAAGUGGAUGAAUUCAACGUGACAUUCUUGACUAUUGUAUUUAGAUAAUGAAACAUUUGUAAUAUGUUUGCACUUUUCUAUCUGCUUUCCUCCCUCAGUGGGACAUCGUCUACAGUGCCAGAUAUUAUUAUCUUUUUGUCCGUGCCUAUGUCGUAGAAUUCAGGUAAGAAUUUAACUUGCUUUUCGCUUUAUUGUAGGUGCUAUUCUCCAGUAUCAUGAGUGUUGUAUUCCAAAGAACCCCAUUUCAUGGAGCAAUUGCACACAUCAUUAAUGACUGUCAAUAUGAUGUCCUUGAAAUGUUCUGCUGUUUUUUGCAGACAAUAUGUCACAACAACAACAACAACAAAGACUCUUACUGAAGUAGAGGUGGUGGUUGAGUUCAAUGACCAUGCUGCACCUGGAGAAACCCCACAGGCUAGUGAUGUGGCAAAAACAUUAGCAAAUGCUGUGUCCAAUCCCAACAACACCUUUAAUCUCACUGUUGAUUCCACUACCGUCCAAGCAGUUGGUAAGUAAGCUGUUGCCCUAAAUCCUAAACCAUGGGUAAAUACUUUUUCUGUUCUCAGCGCCAUCUAAAAAGAUGGUUGGCUCAAGAAAGAGCAUGCAGAAGCAGAAUAAUCAAAAAGGCCAAAAUGAGCAAGACUUCAUGCCAGCGUUGUCCAAUCCUCACGUUCGACAGCUACUGUCUUUCUGGUUUUCUAACUAUCUGCUGAUUACCUUGAUCAGAUGGGUUAGUCAGUUGCUGCUUUACUGAACAAACCUGGUCUAGGUAUUCAGUAUCAGCUGGGAAAGGGAGAGUUGUGAAACCAGCAGGACAGUAGCUCUCGAGGACCAGGAUUGGGCAACCCUGCUUUAAGCAACUGCACACGAAUGCUACUGACUAGUACAUUUCAUUGUUUCUGUCAAUCUACAUGCUGUCAUACUUGUGCUUUUGCAGUAUUGAAUGAAACAAAUCCAACAGCUGUGGUCCCCAACCUGACCACUACGGAAGCCACUCAACAAACACCCAUCAGUGCUACACCUGCUCCAACAACAGAGACUACAGCGG
rnacentral:lncRNA from 1 species